GAUCAAUUUAUUGGUUUCAUUCCCCCUAGUAAUAAUGAUCCAUUUGCAGUGACGAUGACAAUCAAAGUUUAGGGCAAGAAAUAUAGAAGAUAAAGAAAAAUAUAAACAAUUACAACUGUACAGUAGAAAUGAUCGGCAAAACAAGAUAAACAGAAGACAACAAGGCCUAAAUGGUGCAGAGACUUCUUGGUUUUCAUGAUCAUCAACAGAUCAAUACAGAAGAGGAAACUUAAGGUUAAUACUUUUCUACAUUGUGUGCUAAUUGGAUUAAUGUGAAAUGAAAUGUGUGCUUACCUGGAAAAAGAAAAUAGGAAAUUUCUACAAAAUGGCUGUAAACAAAAUGGAGUACAAUCAUAGAUGCACAAGAACACAAUUGUGUAAUUGCAACAACCUACACUGAAGGAUUAGGGAGAAAUGUAGAAAAAAUAGUAUUUUUUUUGUCGAAAUAAACACCAGCUUUAUCCAUUCAUGUACAUAGCUCUGUCAUAUCAACUAUAUAGAGGAAGAUGUUUGAAGAACAAAUUGCAAAAAUGUAUUCUCUACCAAUUGAAGGAAGAUGUCUGGUGGAUGGAAUUAUUUAUGCACUGAACUGUUUUGUAGGGGAUUGAAUAAUUGUACGCAGCAGAAAAGUUAAAUUAACAUGAAAAGUGGUUAUUUUAUUUAAUCUGCAAAUAUGAGCACAAUAUUGAUAACAUCACAAAUAGUAUGAUAUUCAUAGCGUUUUGCUUAUUAUUGUAUUGUCUCAAACAGCUAGCCUAUUGUUUUUGUAUGUCAUGUUACUCAUCAGUGAACAUUUUAUUAAAGUUUUAAUUAUC